UCAUCUUUCAAUGAUCCUUCAGCUGUGUGGCCACACCAGCUCCGCCUUGACCCCGAUGCUGGAAUGCGCUCGCGUUUCACUUUUUAUAAUCGGUCAGCAUGAAGACUAAGGAGAAGAAGAAGCAUCAGUGGGACGAGAAAGUCAAAACAUCACUGCUCUUCGUUUUAGGCCGAGGAAGAGGAGGAGAAGUAGGAGUGUGAUGGGAUAAGAUGAGACACUCAGCACUUCCCCUGAGGAUGAACAGCAGUGUAGUUCUCGUGGGUCAACAACAUGGGGCUCCGUCUGCUACAAACAACCACCACUGUGUUAUUCUGAGACGCCCAGGAGCAACUGCCCACUAAAACCAGUUGGACAGUCUGUGACGAGACCCCCAAGGGGGCCACUGAUUCCACAACCCACACACAAGGACUGAUAUAGGAAUGCGUUGUAGAUACACAUUCGCAGGAACACACACAGUCACCCCAUACACACACGCAACGUUGCUAAAUUUAGCUUCUCAAUGAGUCUCUCCAGCACCAAUUCAGACCAAUGAUGAAAAGUGUCAUUUAUAAUCACAGUAAACAGGAACAAGCUAAUAUUAUUUUGCUUGACUAUAUUUACUAAGUAUGUUGGCAAAUUAGCAGGAAACAAAUAGGAGUGCUCUAAAUUUUGGAACUACAAAGAGGACUCAGGGAUUAGGGAGCAAAGCCUGACUAUGAAUAAUGAAAAUUUGUGAGUGAUUCAAACUAAAUUUUUUAAAGGUUUAUGUUGCAAGAUUUUGGUUACAGUUCACUAGUACGAUUGAUGCUAAAAAUAGACAUUUGCUCCCAAUGUGUUUUCUGUUAGUCGUUUGGCUCAGAUGAGCCGAAUUUGCAGUUGUUGCAGAUUGUCGCCGAUGGCGGUGGUGGACGACAUCAUUCAUUUAUGUGGCCCGGAAGAAAUGACACACAUUUCCUGACUCACUGCACAAGCGGAGUACCAAGUGCCCGCGAGGUUUGCAACAAGGGGGUGAUGCCAUUUCGUGUUAAAAUACCAACUAGUGCAAUUAGCAAUGACUGUAAGUGAGCACCUCAGGCUGCUUGAGGAGGUCACAGUGUGUGUGAUCACUAGCAAACCCUGUAGGACUGGAGUGGAACAGCAUGGCCGCAAAUACAUUUUUAAACACGACAUUUUCGUUUUUACAGGGGCUUUGUUAAUUAUUUGUGAGAGCGGCACACGACCAAAUUAAAGUUAACAUG